rnacentral:rRNA from 1 species
AUUGAACGCUGGCGGCAUGCCUUACACAUGCAAGUCGAACGGUAACAGGUUAAGCUGACGAGUGGCGAACGGGUGAGUAAUGUAUCGGAACGUGCCCAGUCGUGGGGGAUAACUGCUCGAAAGAGCAGCUAAUACCGCAUACGACCUGAGGGUGAAAGCGGGGGAUCGCAAGACCUCGCGCGAUUGGAGCGGCCGAUAUCAGAUUAGGUAGUUGGUGGGGUAAAGGCCUACCAAGCCGACGAUCUGUAGCUGGUCUGAGAGGACGACCAGCCACACUGGGACUGAGACACGGCCCAGACUCCUACGGGAGGCAGCAGUGGGGAAUUUUGGACAAUGGGCGCAAGCCUGAUCCAGCCAUGCCGCGUGCGGGAA